AAUAGAUACCCCGGUAGUCCACGCCGUAAACGUUGGGCACUAGGUGUGGGUCUCAACCAACGAGACCCGCGCCGUCGCUAACGCAUUAAGUGCCCCGCCUGGGGAGUACGGUCGCAAGACUAAAACUCAAAGGAAUUGGCGGGGGCCCGCACAAGCAGCGGAGCGUGUUGCUUAAUUCGAUGCAACGCGAAGAACCUUACCUGGGUUUGACAUGUCCGGAAAAGCUCUAGAGAUAGGGUGUCCUUCGGGGCCGGACGACAGGUGGUGCAUGGCUGUCGUCAGCUCGUGUCGUGAGAUGUUGGGUUAAGUCCCGCAACGAGCGCAACCCUUAUCCUGUGUUGCCAGCAUUUAGUUGGGGACUCGCAGGAGACUGCCGGGGUCAACUCGGAGGAAGGUGGGGAUGACGUCAAGUCAUCAUGCCCCUUAUGCCCAGGGCUGCAAACACGCUACAAUGGCCGGUACAGAGGGCUGCAAUCCCGCGAGGGUGAGCGAAUCCCACAAAGCCGGUCUCAGUUCGGAUUGGAGUCUGCAACUCGACU
rnacentral:rRNA from 1 species